rnacentral:tRNA from 1 species
GUUUGAAUAGCUCAGUCGGUAGAGUAAAGGACUGAAAAUCCUUGGGUCGUUGGUUCAAGCCCGACUUCAAACA